rnacentral:rRNA from 1 species
GACAGAGGGUGCAAACGUUGUUCGGAAUUACUGGGCGUAAAGCGCGUGUAGGCGGCUUGGCAAGUCGGGUGUGAAAGCCCCGGGCUCAACCUGGGAAGUGCACUCGAAACUGCUUGGCUUGAGUACUGGAGAGGGAAGCGGAAUUCUCGGUUGUAGAGGUGAAAUUCGUAGAUAUCGAGAGGAACACCGGUGGCGAAGGCGGCUUCC